GGUGGCCUUGUGGUCAGGACGCAAGACUGGUAAUCUGGGGGCCGUAGGUUCG
rnacentral:tRNA from 11 species